ACACACACCCAAGCUGGUAGCUUUCCACUCUCAAACUCAAACACCUCAUUUUUACGUAAUAACUCAAUGCAUAUAUGAAACACACAGUGUUUGUAGAAUAAAAUGAUUAAUUAAAGAAAUAUAAAAUGGAACAAAAUCAAUUUCCACAGUCCUUAUUUGGACAUCUUUGUAACUUUAACACGUUUGGCAAUCAUCAUGAAAUGUAAGCAGUAAAUAUAUAAAACAUAAUUAUUCAACAACACAACAAUACUCCAUUGUUCAUGAAUUGGUUAAAUGCAUUCAUUAGUUAAACAUACUAAUUUUCACUUUCUCUAAAUAUAACAUAAUUAUAAAGCAAACAACUUGUUUAUUGAAACCAUCUGUUCUGUGUGUUUUCCCUCCAGGGCUUUUUCUAUAGCCCCCCUGGCUCCCACACACAUAUCAGCCACCCUCUCCUUGGUAACUUUCCACACACACAGACAACUUUCUUGUGGUCAUCACAAAAAACAUUGUUGUAACAAUACACAUUAAUUAAGAUUAUAAGCAGCACGAUUAAUAAAACAAAAUCAAAUCCCACAUAAGGUGUACAAGUGAGAAGAGAAAUGGUAUUAGAAGAAGACUAUAAUCAAAUCAUAGCAACAUAUACAAGGAAGAUAUUUGAAGACCAAAUAAUAUCGUUUGGAGAAUUAUUUUGGAUUUGUAGAAAAAGAAAAUGUCGUUAUCAUUGGGAUGGAGAGAAAAGGUAUUUAAAUAUGAUGAAGACAUGUAAAUCAAUACAAUAGAAGGGAAUUUAAAAUCCUCAUUAAAGGAUGAUCAGAACAAUUCAUCAUAAAAUUAUAUGUAGAUUCUGUCGAUUAACCAAAUAAGUGCAAAAUUACAUUAAGGUAUGGGACUAAGCUAAAUAAGGAAUUUAAUAAAGUUUGUCAUAAUAAAAAUACAAAAUAAAUAAACUAUGUAAAGUACUACAAUCAAAAGUAGAUUAUUAAGGUUACCAAUUAGGCAUUAAUUUAUCUUAGGAUAACAACUAGAUGCAGCCAGUAGAAAUACAUGACAACAUAUACUGAAUCAAUUUUAGUUAGAGGUUAGCGGGUAAAUAAGUUGUACGUGUCUUUUUAGAAAACCAAAUGGAAGUUAAAAUAUCAGGAUGAUGGAAAAUUUAACUUGACAUCAACAAGAAUGUUAUUAGGUCUUACGUUACAAAACAGAAUUGAAUUAAUAACUGGGAGAUGGGUAUUCAAGUACUUCUGAUGAUGAUGAUGAAGAGGAGGAAUAAGAUGUACUUGUAUUGAAACAAAUAUUUCUUAUUUGUCAUGCUUUACUUUUUGUUUUUAUUUUUUUGUAAUUUUUGUUUUAUUUGCUUUUGGGGUUUCUUUGCUUUAUUUUGUUUACUUUUAACUUUACAAUAUAUUCUACAUAACUGGGACAACCAACAGCAGGUACAGAACCAAUUACACACACAUUUUUUAAACUGUUAAUAAAGAGGGACUUUAAGUUCUUUUACUUUUACAUUCAAAGACAAAAUAAGAAUGGAAAGAUGUUUGCUCUUAUUGUCCAUAGUUCGAAGUGCAGUGGCAUAAUUUGGUAAUUGGUAAUGUACAGUGGCUUUCUUUAGUCACAAUAUAUAGUUAUAAUUGAGACACUGAGUUAUGAAACGGCACUCCGGAUUAAAAUAAAUAAACAGGAAAACUGAGGCUAAGGAAGCCUCAGAGCGGGGAAUGAAGGGGUUUGUUUUAAUCCGAAUAUGUGUAUCAAAUACUUUACCAUUAUGUUUUUAUGUUUGAAGUUCAGUUAUAUGUGUAGUGUACCAUUGUGUAUGUAGGAAAAGUACCAGCAUGCAUUGCAGUUUGUUCAAAAAGUACAUGGGGAAGGGUCGCUACAUGGCGUGGGUAGGAACAAAGGACCUACAGUUCCAGGAAUGUUUUUCUAUAUGAUAUGAACCAUAUGUUGCUUCAUGUUACAAACCCAUGGGAAUAGGAUUGCGUGCGAAGGCAGACUUAAAUACUCUAGUACAGGGGAAAGGUUUUCAGUGAGUUUUGGAGAUUUUGCAGGACUGCUCGGCUUUUAUUCUAUCUUUUGAACAUGAAACCUAUGGUUUGAGUAUUUUAUUCUUAAAGAACCCAACAGGUAAACCACAACAAUAACUGCUAGUUUGAAAGCUGUUGGAACGUAUCCUAUUUCUAGCGAUGAGUUAAAGAUAUUUAGAACCGGGGUUGACACUACAGGGAAUACCUCUUUAAGUAGUUUUGUGGGAACGGGGUCUAAUAUACAGGACGAUGAUUUGGAUGAUAUAACUAGUCUAGAGAGCUCAUCUAUUGUAGUAGGUUUAAACGAAUCAACAGAUUCUUGACUCUUAAGUAAGGUUUAGGAAAUGACAUUUAAAUUACUUUCAAAUUCUGAAGUGAUUAUACAGUAAUAUAAUUAUGUAAAAGAUAUGGAAUUAUUUUAUGCACUUAGGUGAAAAUUUUUACAUGUCUUUGAUUUAUGCACUUUACUGGAAAUUUCAUUUAUGUCUUUAAUUAUUUUCCAACAUCGAGUUUUAUUUUACCUUUUACAUGUACAAGGAUUAUUUUGCAAUUGCGACCUGUACAAAUUAAUCUCAAUACCCUCCUACUCAUUUUGGCACACAAAAAAGAGCCUUUCAAGAACAGUGGUUUAAAAGUUUCAGAUGGCUGGAAUACUCAGCUAGACAAAAUGCUGCUUUCUGCUUUCCUUGUAGGUUAUUUUUGUCACAAGGUGACAAUCUUUAGGGGCGGAACCAAAGUUAAGGAAGUUUGGUUCCGCCCGGAAGUGUUUCCCACCCGGGCCAGUAAGGAAAAACACCGGAAUUUCCGGUAGCGCCGCGAGAGGGAAAUCGGCGGAAUUAGACGCAGCUGUGCCUAGUUAACGGGAGCGGCGAUGAUUGGAGGACACGCCGGGCAGGCCAGUAUAAAAAAGAACAGUUAAAUCACAGUUGAAGGCUGGUUGUUGACGUUGUACUACAGUGUUGUGUGUACUCAUCGGGUGCGUUGUUGGUAGCGGUCCGGCUCUCUUUCCCAGGCUGAAGCAGUGUAGUUGGAGAGAUGUGGUGAACCUUAAAGGUUGGAAAACGAACGGAAGAAAUCGUAAGCACAGCCAUAACGUAAGAAGAAAACGGAGUAUAUGUGAGUACAGACCUGCAAGUGGUUUGUGUAAACGCUGGAGAGACGCCCUGCUUUGCAAGAUUGAUGUUUGCCUGUUGUGUGGAUUGGAAGCAAAGGACAGUGACAUUUAUCGUUUACGGUGCCUGUGAGUAUAACAUUUGGUGAAGAUGCUUUGUACACUAACCUGUAUUUUCAGUGGAUACCUCCAGGAGAAGGAGGGCGGCCCUACCCCUGAGAUAGCGUGGUAGGUGAGCCGAGGAAACAUCCGACGGAAGCUAAACGCAGCGACAAGACCAUCAGCUAGACCGAAAAUUCCCAUCAACCAUCGGACCUGGAAGUGUAAAGAGACGGGCGUCCUUUAUGUACACUUGAGCGUGGUGGGUGAGUCUUUGUGUCGUGGAAACUUACACUUUUGACGUGGUGCUGUGGACUGCGGUGUAUUGCUGUGUCUUGUCAGACAAACCCCCGCCUUCGUACACUUUGUCAAAAGGAAGACGAAGAGGUUGCCGGUCUUAGCAGAGAAUAUCAGAAUUUAUGCUGUGAACACGCUUUAGGUCUACAUAGCGAAGCGGUGCUACGGAAACGAUUUCCCGUCCAGACGUUGGGGUAUUUCUGGAGAAACGGCGGUGAAGGACUGAAUGAUCGGUGGAUGUGUGAGUACAAUUAAAGGUCAUUAUUGUUGAUGCGUUGAUCUACCCAAUAUUUAUUGUUGCAGAGAGUGAGGUGUAGGCACUCCGCCGUCCCGGGUCUCUACAAAGGGGCGCCCCUGCUCGGGAUACGAUCGCCGAGACGGCAGACAGAGAAGGGCAGCGCUCGGCCUGGUGAGACGAUGUGACGUGUCCACCCCCCUGUGACCAACGAGCUCGUUGUGAGGGUUCGUCCCCGACGUCGCCAGAAACCUACCUGUGGAUCUGACCUAUUGAGAGGAAAGCACGAUUAGUAAGUCCGCCGUACUUACCUUAUCCAACUUAAAUAACCCCCAAGUCUAUGAGUUACCGAAACAGGAGGGCACCGCACCCAGCUGCUGUCUGUGGAGAGAGAGAGAAAGAGAGUGAAUACCAGAGAGACGAACAGUGCGAACCUCAUACUUACCGUAGGCUGUAACCAGCGAAGAGGUGAGAAAGCCAAGUGAACUAACUGUGUCUUGUGUCCCAGCUGCUGUCUGUGGGGAGAGAGAGAAAGAGAGUGAAUACCAGAGAAACGAACAGUGUGAACCUCAUACUUACCGUAGGCUGUAACCAGCGAAGAGCUGCUGUCUGUGGAGAGAGAGAGAGAAAGAGAGAGUGAACAACAGAGCAACGAACAGUGUGAACCCUAUACUUACCCUAGGCUGUAACCAGCGAGGAGGUGAGGAAGCCAAGUUGAACUAACUGUGUCUUGUGUCCCAGCUGCUGUCUGUGGAGAGAGAGAGAAAGAGAGUGAAUACCAGAGGAACGAACAGUGUGAACCUCAUACUUACCGUAGGCUGUAACCAGCGAAGAGGUGAGGAAGCCAAGUUGAAUUAACUGUGUCUUGUGUCCCAGCUGCUGUCUGGAGAGAGAGAGAGAAAGAGAGUGAACAACAGAGAAACGAACAGUGUGAACCCCAUACUUACCGUAGGCUGUAACCAGCGAGGAGGUGAGGAAGCCAAGUUGAACUAACUGUGUCUUGUGUCCCAGCUGCUGUCUGUGAAGAGAGAGAGAAAGAGAGUAAAUACACGAGAAACGAACAGUGUGAACCUCAUACUUACCGUAGGCUGUAACCAGCGAAGAGCUGCUGUCUGUGGAGAGAGAGAGAGAAAGAGAGUGAACAUACGACAGAGAAACGUGAAGGCACGUGGGGCGAAGACCCCCUGCUGAACAGAGAAAGGUACGCAAACAGCGAAAAGUCCAUUCAACAGUCCUAUUGAUAUUUACUCUGCCUCCAGGAAGGAAGAAGGAGGGCGCCACGGAUAGCAGGGACCAGGCGUUGGAGCCUGACGUUCCUUUCCCCCGGUGUACGGUGGUCUGCACCCCCGUUGCCCCUUGUCCCUGCCUGCCCGUGGCAGCAGUCUCCCUGGAGGGAGGAGUCAGACACUAUUUAGGUUUAAUUACCCUUUCCCCAUUUCCCCGCCCUUUUAAAUAUUUC